rnacentral:rRNA from 1 species
GACGAACGCUGGCGGCGUGCUUAACACAUGCAAGUCGAACGGAAAGGCCCUGCUUUUGUGGGGUGCUCGAGUGGCGAACGGGUGAGUAACACGUGAGUAACCUGCCCUUGACUUUGGGAUAACUUCAGGAAGCUGGGGCUAAUACCGUAUAGGAGCUCCGUCUGCAUGGUGGGGGUUGGAAAGUUUCGGCGGUUGGGGAUGGACUCGCGGCUUAUCAGCUUGUUGGUGGGGUAGUGGCUUACCAAGGCUUUGACGGGUAGCCGGCCUGAGAGGGUGACCGGCCACAUUGGGACUGAGAUACGGCCCAGACUCCUACGGGAGGCAGCAGUGGGGAAUAUUGCACAAUGGGCGGAAGCCUGAUGCAGCAACGCCGCGUGCGGGAUGACGGCCUUCGGGUUGUAAACCGCUUUCGCCUGGGACGAAGCGAGAGUGACGGUAAUGGGUAAAGAAGCACCGGCUAACUACGUG